AAUACGGGACUCUAAGAGGCCCCGUAAUUGGAAUGAGUACACCUUAAAUCGUUUAACGAGUAUCAAUUGGAGGGCAAGUCUGGUGCCAGCAGCCGCGGUAAUUCCAGCUCCAAUAGCGUAUAUUAAAGUUGCUGCAGUUAAAAAGCUCGUAGUUGGAUCUGGGGCUUGAGGUCGCUGUCUAUCGUUUCGGCGAUGACGGUGAUGCUCAGCUCUGCUUGCCGGUGACUGUUGCGGUGUUCUUCACUGAGCGCUGUAGCAGCACGGCACGUUUACUUUGAAAAAAUUAGAGUGCUCAAAGCGUGCUUGUCGCUUGAAUAAUGUUGCAUGGAAUAAUGGAAUAGGACCUCGGUUCUAUUUUGUUGGUUUUCGGAGCUUGAGGUAAUGAUUAAGAGGGACGAACGGGGGCAUUCGUAUUGCGGUGUUAGAGGUGAAAUUCUUGGAUCGCCGCAAGACGGACUACUGCGAAAGCAUUUGCCAAGAACGCUUUCAUUAAUUAAGAACGAAAGUCAGAGGUUCGAAGACGAUCAGACACCGUCCUAGUUCUGACCAUAAACGAUGCCGACCAGCGAUCCGUAGUGGUUGCUUUAUGGACCCUACGGGCAGCCUCCGGGAAACCAAAGUAUUUGGGUUCCGGGGGAAGUAUGGUUGCAAAGCUGAAACUUAAAGGAAUUGACGGAAGGGCACACCAGGAGUGGAGCCUGCGGCUUAAUUUGACGCAACACGGGAAAACUCACCCGGUCCGGACACCGUAAGGAUUGACAGACUGAUAGCUCUUUCUUGAUUCGGUGGAUGGUGGUGCAUGGCCGUUCUUAGUUGGUGGAGUGAUUUGUCUGGUUAAUUCCGAUAACGAACGAGACUCUAGCCUGCUAAGUAGUGUUGCUAUUGUUAUAUGGUUGACACUUCUUAGAGGGACAAGUGGCAUUUAGCCACGCGAAAUUGAGCAAUAACAGGUCUGUGAUGCCCUUAGAUGUCCGGGGCCGCACGCGCGCUACACUGGAGAAGUCAGCGUGUGUUAUCCAAGUCCGAAAGGACUGGGUAAUCCGUUGAACCUUCUUCGUGCUUGGGACUGUGGCUUGGAACUAUUCCACAUGAACGAGGAAUUCCUAGUAAUUGCAAGUCAUAAGCUUGCGUUGAUUACGUCCCUGCCCUUUGUACACACCGCCCGUCGCUACUACCGAUUGAAUGGUUUAGCAAGGUCCUCGGAUCGUGGCCGUAGGGGCACGCAAGUGUUUCUGCGGUUUGCGAGAAGACGACCAAACUUGAUCAUUUAGA
rnacentral:rRNA from 1 species